UUCGAUUUUGAUUUCUCUUAGCUGAAUAUAAUCUGAUUAUGUAUGAAUUCUAAAGUAUAUUCUAAGUUGAUUUCCUGAUUGUAACUCGCUACGGUUCUCAUUUUAGUCUCCAUAGUUUUAUCUUGAUUAGUUUCGAAUUAUUCCACUCGUCUUAGUUUUAUUCCUACCUUUUAUACAUUUACGACCUUGAUUAGUGUCCAAUAUCAUGGGUUUUGCCUCUCUUCACGCUUAAUUUGGAUGCGUGUGUUUGUUUUGAUAUAUCCUUCUACUUGUUUGAUUGUCGUUUUAACGAGAUUACCUCUCCCUUUUUUUCAUAACCCUAAGGCAUUUAGUUCGUCUUGACAUAACUUAUUACAUAAGUAUAAAAUGGCGUUUCCGUUAAGUUUCAUCUUAAGUUGCGAAAUAUUUAUGAGCUCAUUGGAAGUUUGCUUCAAUAUUUACUAAGAGUAGUGUGCGAUUCUUUUGUUUAUUUUUUUUGUGAUUUCUGGUUGAUUUUCUCAUUUUAUACAUGACAUGAUUCGAUGCCAAUGGCUAUUUUCGUUCGGAAAGUGACAAGGUUCUGAUUCUAAGAUUGUUUCUUCUUCCUUAAAUACAAUGGUCAUUUUCAGUAAUGGUAUGUGGUUUGACAUGGCUGUUGCAUUUGGGUCAAUAAUGUGAUCAUUUUAUUGUGUAAGUUUUAGCCAUCUGAUUAUUGACAAUCCUUAUUUGAAUAAUCGGCAUCCCCUUUACUGUUUCUUUCUCUGUUCCUUUGAAAAUUAUUGUUUAAGCUUACUAUGUUCCCCGUAUCUGUUGAGUGUUGUAAUAGGACUCAUAUAUACUUGAUUACAUUCAUAAUGUAUAGAUUAAGUUCACCAUCUAAGGUUCCAAUCAUUAUCCAAAAUGUGCUUUGUCCAGAAUAGUUUGUAUUCCUCUUUGGACUAACAAAUGAAAAGAAUUGGUAACAAUUUUGUUAUGCUAGAUGUGACCUUCUUUCUGUAUAAUUGGUUGUUGAAAUUUAUAGACUUUUAUCUUUUAAUCUUAUGAGCAUUAACUUGAAGUAAACAAACUUUACUAUUAAGUAUUGGUUUGAAUGGUCAUUCACAUUUUGAAGUAGAGCUGACUAGGAAUUAAACUUAUAAGAUUUAAUACCAUGAAUGACCAAUAUCUCAUUAACAACAGUUUGCAUGCUUGACUCGGUUUGAUGACUAGUUUUUUUAGUGAUGGGGCUGGUAGAACUUUUCUAUUUCAUAAUAUGUAGAGAUAGUAUCACGUGCCCCCCAUGAAAUUGCGCUUAAGGAUGAUAUUGUUUCCAAGCAUGCAUGAGAGGAUAUAGACACAUUUUAGUUUUGUAAUUGAGGACAUCUUUUUUUGGCAUGCCAUGACUAGUUCUAUAUAUGAGUGUAUUACAUCUGACUUGCUUAUGAUCCUUAGAAGCAUAAUACUCAUUAUUUAUUUAAUUCAUCUGGAAUUAAGACACUAAUCUUUAUCUCUUUAUUUUUCUUAUGUUUCGUGUACAACCGGAGAGCUGGAGUUUCCACUUUGGAACUCGUUAUUGGCCUAAAAUAUCAGGCCAACAGCAAUUAGGAUCAUCGUAAUACUUGGAGUCUCAUAAAUAGGAGUCCAACAUUUCUUAGCCUUUCCUUUUUCGAGUUUGAUUAUAUUAUUUUGAUAUGUUGACUAACCUUUACUUAUGCCUACAUAACUCUUAAGUUUUCGAUACAUUGCUUGUCUUUUUAUUUGAAGAUUAUUUAUGUGAGAUAAUAUUAUUUGUUUGUGAAUUUUGUGGAAAUACUUUUAGAAUAAAUGAUACAAAAUAUUAUAUUUUUUUGAAAAUGGGUUAGCAUUUUUACCUGUAACAUUCUUUUCAGCCUUUUCAAACUGAGGAAAAAGGAACUCAUGGUUUAAGAGUUUUUCAAAGGAUGUUUCAAAAGAGCUAAAAUAAUAUUCAUUUAGGCUUAAUUCAUCGCUUAGGACCUCCAAAUAAAUUUGAAACUAGAUUAAAGGCUAGAAUAAUUACCUUUAGAGAUUACUUAAGGUUAAGAUAUUUACAUUUAGACAUACAUAUUUUUAAAACAAGUAGGGAAGUAGGCCCUUAUAUUUUAUUAGCAAAAAGUAAAAAAUGUAAGUUAUAAGUUAAGUCGCACUAGUUAGGCCUAUUUCAUAUUCUUUUACAUCUCCCAUAUCCCCUUAGACAUUUGAUAAUUAUUUAACUUAGACGAUACUUUCUAAUUAGGUUAUUCGUUAAUAUUUUAUUUAUAAAAGCAUAACUUUUUUUUUCCAAAGAAGUCUAAGUUGGAGUAAUAUUUUCAAAUAUUAUAUACCUAUUUUAUAAACCAAGUGUUUAAAGUUUAAGUUUAAAAAUACAUACUUUGAGAGUUUAAAUCCAAAAAGUUCUUUUAAAAUAUUACUUUCAAAAGGAAAAGAAACAUUAUUUUAGAAAGGGCCAAAACAAAUGUUAUUAAGUUUUGUAGAAUUAUUACUUUUGUCUUAAAGAUACAUACGACUUAGAUUUUUUUUUUUAAAAGUAGGACCAAAGUAUUUCAAGUUCAAAUUUGCAAAAAGAAUAUUUUUCUUAGGGAUAAGGGUCUGAAAAAUACCCCAACUUUGGUCGGAUUUGCUUUUGCGAUACUAAACUUUCAUAAGGACUUAUUACCUUCCUAGACUAUUUAAUUCCAUAUUUUUUACCCCCUGAACUAUUUAAUAGUAUGUUUUAAAGGUAUAUAUGUGCCCACGUGGACACAUUACUAUUUAUAAUUUUGCAUUAUUUUUUAUGUCCACGUGGACAAAUAUAUAUGUUUAAAAUACGGUAUUAAAUAGUCUAGGGAGGUAAUAGGUCCUCAUUAAAGUUUAGUAUCGCAACAUCAAAUCCUACCAAAGUUGUGGUAUUUAUAAGACCCUUAUCUCUUUUUCUUACUUAUACAUAUUUAUCACUACUCAUUUCCAUUUUUUUUAGCACAAAUGCUCCUCGUGCUAUUAUGAAUUUCCCAACUUGUUUUCUUUGUUUAAAAAAGAAAGGGCUCGUGAAAAAAAAAAAACUUAUACAAGUUUAUUCAUUUAGCCUAAGUUUGACAUUUAUUAGUUUUAAUAAUUCCUUAAAAGGAUCCUUAACCUUUCCCUUUAGGAUAAUCAAAAUCUGUCGCCUAGAAUUACAUAAUUUAAAUAGACCAAUAAGAGUUACUUUAGCAUUAUUUAAUUCAAUAUUUAGAUGUCCUAAUUCAUUAUCUUUGAAAAUGGUUAGGCGAUUUUUUUACUUCCUUUUAAAACUAAAGGUAGAAGAAUAAAGAUUUGGGGUGGGACGCAAAUAAUUAGGCUUAUUUUAUUUUAUUUACAUCACCCCUCAUUGAAAAAAUAAUAAUUUUGCUAUUUCACUUUUCCAAUCCAAUAUUGUCAAAAACAUUUUAAUUUCUUAACAUGUUAUUUCAAGACUUUAGAUAUGUCAACAGGUUCAAAAUACAAGGUACAUACAUUUAUAUGUCAUACACAUAAAGGUAUAAAAUUCUAUAUUUUUUUUUAAUUUUCUCUAUACGUAACUUGUUAUUUUGUUACACUUACAUAUUAUUUUUUCUCUGUCACUUUACAAAUGAUACUUAUUCUUUUUUUAUAAUUUAUAAAUCCCUACACUCUAAUAUACACAUUAUUUUACUAUAUAUUUACACCCAACUAUUAUCUUAUUUAAUUUUAUUUUUCUUUACAUCUCAAUUCUAUAUAUAAAUAAAACGAUAAAUUUUCAUAUCUUUUAAACUCAACAUUUAUUUUUGAUACAUUUAUAUAAGACACCUCUAUAUUUUUCAACAUAUAAAAAUUGUCAUACAUUUUUAGUACAUUUAUUUAUUUAUUUAUUACCGUAUAAUAAACAUACUACUAUUAAUUUUAUAGACAUAUAUAUGUCGUACCUUGUAUUUUACUCUUUUCUUAAAUACCGUAUAAUAAACAUACUACUAUUAAUUUUAUUGACAUAUAUAUGUCGUACCUUGUAUUUUAAUCUUUUCUUAAAAUGAUAAAAUUUACUUACCAUUGAGUUUAAAGAAAAAAUAAAUAAACAUGUUUUCCUAACUAUAUUGUUCUAAAUUGAGUUUAAGGACUAUCUUCGGAUAGACUCUGAGGGCUGCUUAAUACCUUCCCUUCGAGUAACCAAAACCCUUACUCAGAAUCUCACUGGAUUCGCAAAUCAAAACAGAGUUUACAUUUACAUAUUAAAAAAUGGUUUUCCUAAUAUUUUCCUUAAAAUUUAGGUGGCGACUCUAAAAUAAAAACAAUUUUUCUUUCAAAAUCAGAGUGUCGGCCAUAUUACGUUGUGAACUAUUUCGAUCAGUUCGAAAUAGGGUGCGACAGCCUGACGACUCUGCUGGGGACUUUCUUAGGUUUUAACCUUAGAAAAACUCAAUUUAUGAACAACAUUUGUGAUUACGUGUUUAUUUUUCAGCUUGCUAUUGAUAUAUUGCUUUGACUGAAAGGACGCAAGUGAAAUUCAAACUUGUGUUUCGUAUUUGUUUUAAAACACUACUUGUUAUUGCUUUCCCUACAUUGUCAUUUGCACAUUCUAUCAAGUCUUGACCGUACACGCACACACUGUACACGCGAGGGGUGUUUCUCUGCUGGGGACUUACUUAGGUUUUAACCUUAGAAAAACUUAAUUUAGGAAUAACAUUUGUGAUUACGUGUUUAUUUUUCAGCUUGCUAUUGCUAUAUUGCUUUGACUGAAAUGACGCAAGUGAAAUCCAAACUUGUGUUCCUUAUUUGUUUUAAAACACUACUUGUUACUUCUUUUCCUACAUUGUUAUUUGCACAUUCUAUUGAGUCUUUGCCGUACACGCACACACUGUACAUGCGAGGGGUGUUCCUGCACUCCUCUGAAACUCUCUUUGGAUUCCUUAGUUUCAGAGUUGGUGCAAUUAAGAUAGUGCGCCUUCUCGCAAUUACUCAGUCCCACUCUCAAUCAUCUAGGAAAAAAAUCUUACUCUUAAAAUAUGUCAUGUUGCAUAGCCUUAGGCAAGACAAUAUACGGUAUUAUCGUUGCGUUUAGGAAACCACCCAAAUGUCAAUGAGUUUCUUCUUUAAAACUCGACGACAUAAACUAUGUGUGGAAUCGAUAUAAAUUAUCCAAACUUAAACACUUAACGGAUUUGGAGCAAAUAAACUUAUUACACCAUUUACCCUCUUUACAGAUGAACCUCAACCAAGACUUGCCGGAUAUCCAAAUGGUCGUUUCACCGCCCCGCAUUCUACAGAAUUGGUGGCAAAAUAUCUAGAGGAUACACGGGGCUGAGAUUUGAGGGCACUUAGGAGCAUUGUUGUCACUUCUGGGGACACGGUGUGGGAAGGUGUUUGCCACUCAGUUAAUGGGGUUUUAGGAACCGAGCACCGUAACUUUCAAAUUCCUGGAUUUUGAGAUCACUCCUACACUAGAGGAGUUCAGUAGUCUUACCGAGCUACCGAUUAGAUGGAGGCUACCGAUGAUCCCGUCAACUAUCUGUACUGGUCAUUUUCUAAGUCUCAUUGAUCUACAUAUAUUUCGGUCAUUGAGAUAUGUGGACGGCGGAUAGGUUGAAUUAGACUAUCUCUUUCAGAGGUUUGGGCGUUCAGAAGGUUACUAUGAAUAUCAGCGUGAAUUUGAAUGUACUCGCGGAGCGUGGGAACAUAUGAGGCUGAGAGUAUUCGUUAUGGCUUUCCUGGGAGUUAUGGUGUUCUCGAUAAGGUCCGAUUCUGUUGAUAUCAACAUAUUGCCGAUGGUUAUAAACAUCUUCAACGAUCCAGAACGAUUUUCUUUAGUGCCCAUGAUCCUCGCCGAAGUUCUUCGUUCGAUGACAGCCUGCAUUAGGGGAACAACUUCUUCGGGGGAUGCAGUAUGCUACUACAAAUCUGGGCGAGAGAACAUUUCUAUUGUCGUGAUCCACAAAUAGAUUUCUACAUGGGUGCACGUAACAUGAUCGAAAGCCAUGAAGAUUAUCUCUAAAAUUGGGUGGGCGCGCCGAUAGGAAGGGAAGAGUGGCGCACAUUCCUGAACAACCUUACAGGAGAUGCCAUCCAAUGGAAGUCUUCUUGGAUAAGAGGAGUGGCGUUUGCGAGGACCCGAUAUUUUUUCUUUAUCGAGUUAAUUGGGCUGAGGGAAAUUUAACCAUAUGCACCUCUUCGGGUUAUUCGGCAAUUUGGAGUCAUCCAAGACAUUUCUCUAUGGUCAAUCAUGGGGUCACAUGAAUAUGCUUUCACUUCAGUCUCGCUUGAACUGAUAAGAAAUCUGCAAGCCUAGUGGGAAUACACGAUCAAUUUGGAAAUAAGAGAGGCAAAAUGGUGCACACCGGAGUAUUACACUUGGCGGAAUACUGUGAGUCAUGGCUCAUGCAAGCGUACGCGGGCACCGGGGGUUUGUAGACAACCAACAGAUUGAUUGAAUUAGAGAAUUGGUGCUUCCUCGCAUGGGAUUCACCACAUCUAUGUAUAAUUAGAUUUUUCCUGGAUCCAUUGACUAUUUGAUUCAGGUUGAAGAAGAAGAAGAAGAAAAUGAAGAAGACCUGAAAGAGGAUCCCGAAGAAGACCCAGAGGAGGACCCAGAAGAAGAGGUAGAGGUAGACUACAUGGAGGUUUCUGAAUCAGGUUCUAACAUCUAUGACCCAAGAGAUGGAGGGGUAAUAAACAUGUCUCUCGAACGCAGCCCCAACGAGUCUCCAGAGUACCACCCAGGGCUAUAUUAUGAUGGGGACGAUGAUGAUGAUGAUGCUCCAACAUGGUCGUAGAUUCGUCUUUCUUCUUUGAACUCUUUUUAUAAGCUCCUCAAAGUGUCAUGUGGCCUAUCCCUCUUGUAUGCCUUUUGGCCCCCCGUAUUUUCAGUUCUUAGGUUUCUGAUUGCCUACCUCAAUGUAACAAUCAAGACUACCUUAAUCAAUGAAGUUAUGUUUGCUCCAAAAUAUAAAAUGUGUUUAAAUGGAUAAUUUAUUAUCAAACUGAUUGCAACGUAGGCCUACCUAAGGCAAAAAGAGGUUCUGCAUUAGGACGCGUUUUGAAUGUCGCCAAAUUGGCAUAUAUAUGUGUUACACUUAUAUAUUUGUUACAUCUUUCAAUAUUUUCCAAACUAACAUUAGUUUCCUUUUUCUUUGUUUUCUUUUCUUUUUCAUCAUUUAUCCCCAAAAGUACGUUUAUUUGUGUCGACUUGCAAACUGGCUAACUCACGAUACAACCUUCGAUAAAAAAUAAAGAUGACUGAUAAAGACGACUUCAACGCUGCUGCAAACAUAAUGAUACCUAUUGAGAACCCAGAAGGUUCUCGAAACAUGAUAUACAUCCAAAAUGAAGAGAAAAUGGCUUGCAUGGAGCAAGAACUCGAGAUCUUGAGAGUGGAAUUACACCAAGUGCAAGACUUGGCCAAACUGUCAGCUACCACUUUCCCUACUUUCAAGACGCCUAUCUACUUCGCCAAAGCUGACUUGCCUUCUGCCGACUUGCCAAAUCAGCUAGAACAAACUCAACACGCUCCAACUCACGGUCGAGUUCCACCAGCUUCUCCAACCGCAAUUAGGACCGUUCUCAACCUUUCCAAUCACGACCCUACCAUACCAACAAUGCAACAGAUACUUGGGGCACAUGUCGCCGCUCCCUAUGAGCCAUAUGUUCCACCCGUAUAUGGCGCUGAAGCUCCUACCUUCACAAUACCAGCAAAGAUUAAUAUCCCGUAUGAGGUCGAUCAAUAUGCAGAAAUGGAGAAAGAUACCCAGCUAAAAGAAGAUGCAUCGAUAAAUGCCCAACUUCAGGGUCUAAGAAAGGCAUUGAAAAGCCUACACGUUACUAAAGGAAUGGAGAGUCUGGAUUAUGAUGACUUGUGCAUCCACCCAAACGUUGACAUGCCGGUAGGGUACAAACCACCGAAGUUUGACAUGUUCGAUGGAAAAUGUGACUUUCAUGCACAUUUAACGGCAUACUGUGACAAGUUAGUCGGUGUAGGGAGGAAUGAGAAGCUGAGGAUGAAGUUGUUCAUCCGGAGUCUGUCUGGAGAAGCAUUAACCUGGUAUACCCGCCAAGACCCUCGCAAAUGGCGAGACUGGUAGGAAAUGGCUGAAGACUUCAUGAAUCGUUUCAAAUUGAAUAUUGAAAUUACUGCUAACAGAUUUUCAUUAUCCAACAUACAGAAGAAGCCAUCAGAGAAUUUCCAGGAGUACGCACAACGUUGGAGAACCGAACCCGCAAGGGUGCAACCAUCACUAGAUGAAAGUGAGCUUUCAAAGUACUUUAUUCGAGCUCAAGAAGGUGUCUACUUUGAAAAGAUGAUGUCAAUGAUGGGCCAGAAGUUUGCAGAAUUGGUCAAGAUGGGAGACUUUAUAGAGGAGGGUGUUAAAUCUGGGAAGAUCCAGUCUAUGGUCGCAUUGCUAGCUACAAGUAGGGCUUUAAAAACGGGUUCCUUUGGUGGCAUAAAAAAGAAAAGGGAGGAUGUUUCAGCUGUCACUUACCAACAAGGAGGACCGUCCCACCGAUACCCUAGUAAUCCCUAAAUCGUUGUGCAUACUUCAUACGUCGCAUACCCAAUAUAUAAUAGCCAACCACACUAUAAUCCACCCCGAGCACCAGCAUACCAAAAUCCUCCAAGACCAUAUGUCCCUGUCCAAGCACCAAUCCACCAGAAUAGACCAGCAUAUGCACCGAGACCACGUCCAAAUUUUGAAGCUAGAAAUGCUCGAACUUACACACCGAUUGCCGAACCCUACGCCCAAUUGUUUGAAAGGUUGAGGACAGCGGGAGUGCUGCAACCAGUUGAAGGAAAACUUCCUGAUCCAAUCCCUCGUAAUUUUAAUGGAAACAAGCGAUGCGCUUACCACUCGGGAAUCCAAGGACACGACAGAGAAGAUUGUUAUGGGUUAAAGAACCAGAUCGAGUCUUUAAUCAGAAGAGGAGUAAUCAAUGCACUCCAGUGCCUCCUAAUGUGAAUAACAACCCUUUGCCAAACCAUGAGAAUUGGGAAGUCAACAUGGUUACUUUUGAUGAAGAAUAUGGGGGCCCUAAUUGUCCAGACAUAGAUGAACCAGAUGCCAUGACAUCUUUGGCUCAAUAUGUUAUCACUGUUCAACUAAGGGAACCUCUGACUGUCCAAACAUAUCUCCCAAGAGUUCUAAUGACCACUCUAAGUGCUAGAAAGCCUGAAUAUGACACCAAAGCAAUCCCUUGGGACUGUCGAGCAGACGCCAAGGGCAAGAUGAUCGACACUGCCGUAGCUCAAGGGAUGACUAGGUUGGGGAGGUGUUAUGCCCCACAGGACCUAAAUCAAAGAGUUCUCGGAAAAGAACAUAAUCCAAAGAAGAAUGUUACCGAUGCUGAAGCCGCAGAGUUUUGGAAGAAGAUGCAGUCUAAAGACUAUUAAGAACAGAAUCCAUAGAAGAAUGUUACCGAUGCUGAAGCCGCAGAAUUUUGGAAGAAGAUGCAGCCUAAAGACUAUUCAGUCGAAGAGCAGCUGAAGAAGACGCCUGCCCACAUAUUUAUUUUGUCUCUGCUUAUGAGUUCUGAAGCUCAUAGGAAUGCUUUGAUAGAAGUGUUAGACGGAGUGAAUAUUCUAAAAAAGAUCACUAGUGAAACCUUAGCUUCAACGAUUGGAAGAAUAGUGGAUGCUAACAAGAUUUCUUUCCAUGAUGAUCAACAAAGCGCUUCACAUCGCAGUAACGUGUUGUGAUAAGGUUGUGACUCGAGUUCUAAUUGAUGGUGGUUCUGGAUGCAAUAUCUAUCCUUUCACCACUCUGAAGGAAUUAGGUAUUAAUAUGGGAGAGAUAAAGGAAAAUCCUAUGAAAGUUAGAGCUUUUGAUGGAGCGCAAAGAAGUGUCAUUGGAGAGAUCUAUCUCUCAUUGCAGGUGGGACCGGCUGAAUUCCCCAUCCUAUUUCAAGUGAUGGAUGUAUCAUGCAACUACAACCUGUUGCUGGGAAGACCAUGGAUUCACAUGGCAAGAGCGGUUCCUUCCACUCUUCACCAAUGUGUAAAGUUUUAGUGGGGUCACACAGAAGUUACCAUCCACGGAGAGCUCAGUCACCCCAUCCUUUCUGUUAAUUCUAUCCAGUCGCUGACGAGUUAGACGGAGCCACCUUUCACACUUUGGAAAUUAUGCAAGCUAUAAGGUUCAGUGAGGAAGCAGAGGGAGGUAAUACAAAGUUGUCAAGUGCGGCGAAAAUGGUUGCGUCAGCUAUGUUGAAGUAUGGAUAUCAGACUAAGAAUGAACUUGGACCUAAGUCCAAUGGCAUAGUUGAGCCGAUCCAGCUGAAGCAUUAGAGAGGCACCAACAGACUCAGAUAUGAGCCUGCCUCGGGAAGAGACCGUUACGGGUCAAGCGAUACAAUCUUUGUACCAAAACAAGCUUUGAUUCCAGAUCAAGCCGGUGUUGAUGACAUCAUGGAAGGAAUAGGCAAUCUGUUCAUGGCCAUGGCUGGAGAAGAAGCAGGGAUAAAUCUCAACAAGUUGACCAUUCGUAAUGCCGAACCUGGAGAAAUCUUGCAGAAUUGGACCAUCAUCCCGUCCCUGUUUCAACCAGAGUUCUGGUAGUGUGGAAAAGUAGUCUUGAUUUUAAAAUUCGCAUGAUCAAAUUGAGGCUUGAAUCAUGCCUAAUAUUUUGUUGCUUGCCUCUUCUAAAAGUUAGAAUGCUUUGAAAUAAAAAGUCUUUAUUUUCUUUGAAAAAUUUCUCGUUAUUCUAAAUAUCUAUUUAUUUUUACUUACCUUUUUCCCUUUUCAGCACUCAUAUUAAUAAAUAUCCUCGUUCAAUGGUUAUGACAUAUAAAGAAUCCACCGAGCAAGGUGAAAGCGAUGAGAAAGAUCACGAAGAGUACGAUGAAAGCAUGAUGCCGGAAAAUCUGCCACAUGAGAUCGAGCAAGUUGAAAGUUAGAAAAAACCCAAUAUGGAUUAAACAGAGGUUGUCAACUUGGGCGAUGAGGAAAUCGUGAAGGAAACAAGAGUCAGGAUACAUUUGGAGGCUGAAAGAAAGCAAGAGUUAAUGGAGUUGCUUUAGCAAUAUGUUGACGUAUUUGCUUGGUCUUAUGAUGACAUGUCAGGAUUAAGCACUGAUAUUGUCUCACACAAAUUACCGACUGAUCCCACUUGUCUUCCCGUUAAGCAAAAGACAAGAAAAUUCAAGCCAGAUUUGAGUUUAAGGAUCAAGGAGGCAAAUUGAGGCGAACGUUGUAAGGGUUACAAAUUACCCCACAUGGUUAGCCAAUAUUGUGCCAGUGCCAAAAAAGGAUGGAAAGAUCAGAAUAUGUGUAGACUAUCGAGAUCUCAACAGGGCCAGUCCUAAGGGUGAUUUCCCUCUUCCGAAUAUUCAUAUACUCAUCGAUAAUUGUGCAAUACAUGAGUUGUAAUCAUUUAUCGAUUGCUUUGCAAGAUAUCACCAAAUCCUGAUGGAUGAAGAUGAUGCGGAGAAGAUAGCGUUUAUCACUCCAUAGGGAGUGUACUACUACAGAGUAAUGCCAUUUGGUCUAAAAAAUGCCGGUGCAAUCUACAUGAGGGCCAUGACUACCCAUUUUCACGAAAUGAUCCACAAAGAAAUUGAAGUGUACGUGGAUGACGUCGUUAUCAAAUCCAAAAGAAGUUCAGACCACCUGAAUGACUUACGAAAGUUCUAUGAGAGGUUGCUUAAGUAUAUUCUAAAGUUGAAUCCAGCAAAGUGUGCAUUUGGAGUACCCACGGGAAAACUAUUGGGAUUCAUCGUUAGCAGGAAAGGCAUAGAGUUGGAUCCAUCAAAGAUAAAAGGCAAUCCAAGAGCUACAUCCACCCAAGACCAGGAAGGACAUAAUGAGUUUCUUGGGAAGACUGAAUUACAUCAGUCAGUUCAUAGCUCAAUCCACAGUGAUCUGUGAACCCAUAUUCAAGUUACUGAAGAAGGAUGCUGCCACGAAAUGGACCGAGGAAUGCCAAAGGGCUUUCGAUAGAAUCAAAGAAUACAUGUCCAACCCACCAGUAUUGGUCCCACCAGAGCCUGGAAAGCCUUUGUUAUUGUAUCUAUCUGUCAUGCAUAAUGCAUUUGGAUGUGUAUUGGGACAGCAUGAUGAGACAGGUAGAAUAGAGAAAGCUAUUUACUAUUUGAGCAAGAAGUUCACACCAUACGAGGCAAGAUACAAACAUGUUGCGCUUUGACUUGGAUUGCGCAAAAAUUUAGGCAUUACCUGUCUGCAUACACCACGUACUUGAUCUCAAGAAUGGAUCCCCUAAAGUACAUCUUUCAGAAUCCCAUGCCUACGGGUAAACUGGCGAAGUGGCAAAUUUUGUUGAGCGAGUUUGAUAUUGUGUAUGUGACAGAGAAGGCCAUCAAGGGACAAGCCCUAGCUGAUCACCUCACAAAAAAUCUGGUGGACUAGGAUUACAAGCCACUCACGACCUACUUCCCUGAUGAAGAGGUGUUAUUUGUAGGAGAAAAUAUAUUAGAAUCGUAUGAUAGAUGGAGAAUGUUCUUUGAUGGGGCAUCAAACUCUAUAGGAGUUGGAAUAGGAGCAGUCUUAAUUUCGAAAACAGGUCAGUAUUACCCAAUCUCAACCACGAUUAGGUUCUAUUGUACCAAUAACAUGACGGAAUAUGAAGCUUGUAUUCUCGGACUCAGAAUGGCCAUAGACAUGAAUAUCAAAGAACUCUUGGUGAUAUUAGACUCUGACUUGUUGGUUUAUCAAGUGCAAGGAGAAUGGAACACUAAGAAUGUCAAGAUCCUUCCUUAUUUGCAUUACAUAAAAGAGUUGAGUAGGAGAUCCAUAAGGAUUCAGUUCAAGCAUGUCCCUCGAGCUCAAAAUGAGUUUGCCGAUUCUUUAGAACAUUAUCCUCAAUGAUUCAACAUCCAGACAAGAAUUACAUCGACCCUAUCGAUAUAGAGAUACAUGAUCAACAUGCAUACUGUUUUCAUGUAGAUGAGGAACUGGAUGGAAAACCAUGGUACUAUGACAUUAGAAGGUUGAUAGAAGAACAAGAAUAUCCUGAAAAUGCUACGAGCAAGAAAAAAUAGACUAUGAGGAGGAUGACCAAUCAUUUCUUCCCUAACGGAGAAAUCCUAUAUCGGAGAACUUAAGGUCAGAAGAUUGAUAAAAGCACAAGAAUAUCCUGAAAAUGCUACAAGCAAGCAGAAAUGGACUUCGAGGAGGAUGGCAAAUCAUUUCUUCCUUAACGGAGAAAUCCUAUAUAGGAGAACUUCAGAUUUAGGAUUGCUGAGGUGUGUCGACGCCGCAGAAGCAAUAAGGCUUUUGGAAGAAAUACAUGCAGGAACAUAUGGACCUCACAUGAAUAGGUUCACUUUAGCAAAGAAGAUUUUAAGAUCUGGAUAUUUUUGGAUGACCAUUGAGAGAGAUAGCAUCCGGUAUGUGAAAAAGUGUCAUCAAUGUCAAGUGCAUGGAGAUUUUAUACGGGUUCCAUCGAAUGAGCUUAAUGUGAUGGGUUCCUCUUGGCCAUUUGCCGCUUGGGGCAUAGAUGUUAUUGGACCCAUAGAGCCUCCCACAUCAAAUGGACAUCGUUUCAUCCUGGUGGCUAUCGAUUAUUUCACAAAAUGGGUAGAAGCUUCGACAUACAAGGCAGUGACAAAGAAGGUGGUAGUAGACUUUGUUCGCGACAAUAUAGUUUGUCGGUUUGGAAUUCCAGAAUCAAUCAAAACAGAUAAUGCGGCCAACCUCAACAGCGAUAUUAUGAAGGAAACUUGUGAAAAGUUCAAGAUUGCUCAUCGAAAUUCCACGGUUUACCGUCCACAGAUGAAUAGAGCAGUUGAGGCUGCAAAUAAGAAUAUCAAGAAGAUUUUUAAGGAAAAUAAGUUGGACAGUCACAGGAAAUGGCAUGAGAAGCUACCAUAUGCUUUUACUCGGUUAUCGCACCACAAUCAGAACAUCAACUGGGGCAACUUCUUAUAUGUUGGUUUAUGGUUCGGAAGCAGUAAUACUUGCCGAGGUGGAAAUACCAUCUUUAAGGAUUAUCCAAGAGGUUGGUCUAGACGGUGCGGAAUGGAUACGUAGCAGAAAUGAACAGUUGAUGCUCAUCGAUGAAAAGAGGAUGGACGCGGUUUGUCAUGGACAACUCUAUCAGAAUAGAAUGACCAAAGCGUUUAACAAGAAAGUCAAACCUUGACAGUUCACACCAGGGCAGUUAGUAUUGAAGAAGAUAUUUUCUCACCAAGAAGAAGCCAAAGGGGAAUUUGCACCAAAUUGGCAAGGACCCUACAUGGUUCAUAGAGUACUCUCUGGAGGAGCGGUAAUCUUAGCAGAAAUGGAUGGCAGAGUGAACACAAAGCCAAUCAAUUCAGACGCCAUCAAGAAAUACUACAUCUGAAGACCUCAAGAUUAGUGCUUAUUUCUUGUACUUUUGCAUUUUUGAUAUAACAGAACUACGUCUAGACCUGACUUCCCACAGCGGGGUACGUAGGCAACCCACAUCGGAUCUGGUCUCCCUUAGAAAACCCAAAAUCAUCAUUUCCAUGUAUUUAGAACUACGUUCGACCUGAAUUCCCUCGGUGGGAUACGUAGGCAAUCCUUGUCGGAUUCGGUCAUUUGCAUUUCAUAUUUUUCACUUUCCUUUUGUAUUUGAACUACGUCCUGACCUAAUUCUACUUGGAUACAUAGGCAGCCUGAUUCAGGCCCGGUCAUUGCAUGUCAUAUCUUUCACUCUCCCAUGUCAUAGUUUUCAAAAGAUUUUUCUACUCUUCCACCUACCAAGUCUCUAGGUUAAGAAACUAUGUGCAGGCUAAGAGGACGUCGAAAGAUCCCAGUGACGAAGUUUCAGUCCGCGAGUCGAUACAAAUCAAUACCCCCUCCCAAACUAAAAAUUUUCUUUGAGCGCAGGAACACAUGAAUCAAGAAAAUAUCAUCAAGUCUCAGGGCACGACCGGAGGCCCCACUCGACCUCUACAAUCAUUAGCCAAAAUACUAUUUCCCUACUUUAUUUCCCGGAAGUACUUCAACUUGCAUCUUAUGUCUAAGAAUAUUUUAUUUAAAUUUUUGUAGGUACGCACAAGAUCCAGAUGAAAUGCUGAAGAAAAGAGGGACCUCGUAGGAAAAUAGAAUAGUUAAAUUUCUGUCAAAAUAACUCCACCAACUGGAGCUUGUAAUCUAACCUCAUCAACAACUCCGCCAAUCGGAGACCACCGUCUAACAUCGUCGAACUCCACAAGCCUGGGGUUGUCCAUAACAAAUGUCACUCAAACUCCAUCGAUUCGAGGUUGUACAUAGCAAACAUCAUCAAAUUACGCCAACUGGAGGCUGUACAUAGCAAGCAUCAUCAAACUCCGCCAAUCUGACGCUGUACAUAACGAAUAUCGUCAAACUCCGCCAACCGAAGGCUGUACAUAGCAAACAUCGACCGAACUCCGCCAAUCGGAACCUGUAUAUAAGCAAAGAAGCAACACUCCGCCAAUCAGAGACCACAUCAUAGUGACGUCACUGAAGCUCCACCAACUGGGAGCAUGAAAGCACAAUGACACUUUCAUACACUAACAAUAACAUGUUACAUUACAAGCUUUAUAAAGUCGGAUAUAGGCUUUUGCUUUACAACAGCCCCACUAAGAGGAGGUCUACAUUACAAGCUUUACACAGCCGGAUACAUGCUUUUACAUUACAACAUCCCCGCCAGUCGAGGGCCUUUACAUUACAAGUUACUUUACCUACAUCACAUUCACAACACAAAAAAUAGGGACAUCUACACUGUACUCUUUACAUUCCAAUUUCAAUUUAUAAUUUUUGAACCGCAAUAGGUACUUUUCACCUUUUUACAUGUUUUGCAGGACAAUGCAUUACAACGAGGAACUCCCUCUAAGCAGCAAACUAGGGCAAGUUAGUGCAAUGUUAAGCAUCACUAGCUACGUCAAGGAUUCACUUUCAAAACUCAACUCGACUCGAUUUUCAAAAGUCCAGAUAACUCUCUUUGGGUCUCACUUCAUUAUAACCCGACACUGGGGCAUUCUUUUUUUUAAAAAAAUAAAAUAAAAAAGCAUCCCUCUACCAUAAGUCUCCAGUAGAAAUUGCUACGGAGCAUUUUCUCAUUCAUGUUCUUUAGAACUAUAUCUCGUCCCUCUAUUCGUGAUAAUCUCUUCAAACCUCACCACCAAAAAAUUUCAGUAUUACCAUAAUUCGAUACUGGGGCAAAUUUUUAACAAAAAAAUUCUAUGUUCCUACGCUCUCGAACUACUUAUGGCCUAAUUUCUCAUGAAACCUGAGAUAUGUAGGCAACUCAGAAACCAGAGUUCGGCCAUAACUCCAUAAACAUUUCUUGCCGAGUUUUGGUCAAGGUGUAUUUUAGUGGGUCGCCUAAAAUUGGAUCGUGUCAAUGUUUCUUUGUCCACGUCUUCUUUACUCUCUUCCACAGAAAAAGAAUGGGGCAAGUUGUUGACACCCAAUUUUGGCUCUCAACAUUUAACUAUAGUAAUUAUAAUAAUAAUAAUAAUAAAAUAUAUAUNNNNNNNNNNNNNNNNNNNNNNNNNNNNNNNNNNNNNNNNNNNNNNNNNNNNNNNNNNNNNNNNNNNNNNNNNNNNNNNNNNNNNNNNNNNNNNNNNNNNNNNNNNNNNNNNNNNNNNNNNNNNNNNNNNNNNNNNNNNNNNNNNNNNNNNNNNNNNNNNNNNNNNNNNNNNNNNNNNNNNNNNNNNNNNNNNNNNNNNNNNNNNNNUUUUUUUUUGUUCAAAUAUAAUUUCUUUUGUCGCAAUAGAUAUUUUUCUUACAUUGUUUAAAAGUAGAAAGCUUAAUUAAUUAAUGAGUUACUAAUUUAUAUUAAUUUAAUUUUAAGAGUGACUAAUUUUAUCAAAUAAGCUAGUUUUGCAAAAUAAUUAAUUUUAAUUUAAUAAAUUAUAGUUAGUUAAUAAAGAAGAGGUCAUAAUUUAAAUGAAUUUAAUUUGAACAAAACUUGGCAAUCCAAGUCCCCUUAAACCGGCCAAUCUGUGUGUGCCACGUAGGUGAGCACAUGGAUUGUGCUUCUUAACUUUUAAUCUCAACCCUCUAUUUUAAUCCAACGACUUUAAUUAAUUCAUCUUUUUAAUAUAUAACUAGUUUUUCGACACGUGCGUUGCACGUGAUUAUCAAUUCACAAAAUUUAUGUGAAGAUUUGAAUAAUAAUGUUUGCACAAUAUAAUAUUGCAGAUUCUUUUGUGAAUAUUCAGCGUGGAUCGUCAUAUGUAUCUCUUAUUCAAACGAACCUAUGAAGAUGGUCAAUGAAAAAAUUGAUUAGUUAAAUGCAAUAAUGUAUAUAUUUAUUUCAAUGUGAUGAGGCUCAAUCAUGUAAUUAGUCGUAUCUCACCAAUAUUACCUUAUAGACUAUAUUUGUUGUGUAUUUUUCUUGUCAUGUAACCAAAUGUUCUUUGCACAUGUAUUCCACUUAAUCUGUUUAGAUGUCAUAUGAACAUGUUGAGAACAACUACAUUUUAUUUUUUAGAACUAUAUUUGUAUAUUAAUUUUUAUUUUAUAAGUUAUAACAUAAUAGAUGACGUUAUUUUUAUUGGCUCUCAUAUUUGACAUCUCGAUUGACUGUGUAUUCCUUUUUUUUACUGAAAAACUAAAAAUUAAAAUUAAAGAAUAUAUUCUAUCUGUGAAAUCAUAUAUAUAAUCACAUGUUUAUCUUACACCCAACAAAGAUAUAGUUCAUAUACUUGUACACAAUUUUCAAUUUAUUCGUCCAAAGAAAAAUAACAACACUAUGUUAUCACAUAUAUAGGGUGGUAUAAUAAUAUGAAAAAUCAUUGGUCAAAAGUUAAUAUAAGGAAAGAUGAAUGAUAGAAAUAAUUAAUGUAAUAACUAUGUGAAUUCAUAGUAUUAUUACUAAAGAAAGUAAAAGAGUGUGAAUAAUAUUUGCAAUAAUUAGUAAUAUCAUAUACUUACACAAAUAAAUAGGAGAUUUAAUUAAAAAAUUAUUUUGUUAAUGAUAAAUUUUAAAUGAGUCACAUAUUUUCACUUUUGUUGUGAGUUUUUUUUUUUAAAAAAAACUCAAAAAUUUUAAAAUAAUAUAUUUUGACGUUAAAAGAUCUUGUUAACUUGAUAAUACAUUCGUGACAUAUAUAAAUCCCCUACCCCAAAUAUAUAUAUAUAUAUAUAUAUAUAUAUAUCAUAAAAAAUAACUAUUAAAUAAAUUUUAAAAAAAUAAAACAAAUAAAGAUUAGAAGUCAUAUAAACUUUUCUUCGUCGAAAAUACAGUAAAAUUAAGAAAUAGUACAUUAAUAAAAGAAAAGGACAAUGUUUACAUAGUAAUAACUAUUUUGAAGCAAACUUACUGGCAAUCUAAAUCACAUAAGUAGCAUUGAUAAAUAAAACUAUUAUGUUGUAUUAAGUACCAAAAUAACAAAUCAUGAGAAUUUUCUAACUCUUGAGAAGUUUAAUAGUUUUGGAAAAAGAUAUUCAGAAACAUAUAUCUAUAUCACAAGAGAAAUUGUUAACAAAAACAAAUGAAUUCAGGCUACAAUAAAAAUUAAACUAAUAUAAAUUUCAAUUGGCGUUAUUACAAAUCAUAUGGACUUUUCUUCGUCGAAAAUACUCAAAUAUUAAGAAAUAGUAAAUCAGUUAAAAAAGGGCAAUGUUUAUAUAGUAACAACUAUUUUGAAGUAAAUUUCCUAACAAUCUAAAUCACAUAAAUAGCAUUGAUAAAUAAAGUCAUUAUUUUGUCUUGGACAUCAAAAAAUAAAUCGUGACAAUUCUCUAACUCUGGAGAAGUUUAAUAAUUUUGGAAAAAGAUAUUCAGAAACAUAUUUCUACAUCACAAGAGAAAUUGUUAACAAAAACAAAUGAAUUUAAACUACAAUAAAAAUUAAUAUAAUACAAACUUCAACUGACAUUAUUACAAGUCAUAUAAAUUUUUCUUCGUCGAAAAAUACUUAAAUAUUAAGAAAUAGGAAAUCAGUAAAACAAAAGGGAAAUGUUUAUAUAGUAAUAACUAUUUUGAAGAAAACUUCUUGAUAAUCUAAACCACAUAAUUAGCAUUGAUAAAUAAAGUUAUUCUUUUGUCUUGAGCAUAAAAAAAACAAAUCAUGACAAAUCUCUAACUCUUAAGAAGUUUAAUAAUAUUUGAAUAAGAUAUUCAGAAGCAUAUAUCUACAUCACAAGAGAAAUUAUUAAAAAAAAAAAAAAAGUUAGACUACAUCAUGUUAACUUCACAUAUUGGAACAUUACAUACUUAUGUAUAUACUAAACAAAAAGAUGAUUAUUAUAUCAUCAGAAUUUUUUUCCUCAAGUACUUGAGGUUAAGGAAUAUACCAUCUUAGGAUAGAACAAUUUACUUCAUCAGAAUAGUGGAACCUCAUAUUCCACUAAACUUCUAACUCACUCAACGAAUAUAAAUCACAAGAAAUUUAUUAAAAUACAUAAAGAAGAAGAGUACAAGAUUAAAAAAAAAAUGGGUUUGAAAAAUGAGAGGAAACCCCUUUACUUAUAGUCAACAAAGGAUAGUAUGAACAAGUAUUUUUGUGUCUUAUCUUAAAAGUCGUGAUCUUUUCGAGAAGUCACAAUCCUUUGGAAAAGUAACAACUUAUUGAAAAAUUUACAACUCUUUGGAAAAGUCACAACUCAUCGCAAACUCAAACCCUUUGAAAAAAAGUCACAACUUAUCAGAAAAGUCACAAUUACCAAAAAAGUCACAACCUAAGUUAGGGAUAUUAUAGUAAUUUAACAUUCGAGUUAGGAGUUCAUGCGUUUAAGGUAAUAUAGAUAUAGAUUAUUAUCAAAUAUAUAUAUAUAUAUAUAUAUAUAUAUUAUUAAUCUUUUUUAGCCCUUGAUUUUUAUUAACCGUCCGAUCAAACGAUCGGACGGUCGAGAUCAAACCAAAGACUUUUAGACCCCUACACCGCCCUACUAUUCCCAGAAAUCACACUCUUCUUCCCAAAUGUCUUCUCCAUCACGUUUACCCUCCCACACCUCUUCCUCUUCCCCAAAAACCAAUGCCCCAAGCUCCUCUCCCAUCGUCCCAUCACCGCCCCACGUGAUCCCCCACCCCCUUCGUUAGAAAUGGCUCUGGGCUGCCGGAAAAAUGUCAAUUCCGGCAGUUCCUUGCCCCAUCUAUCACUCACCCUUUUCAAUCAAUCCGGAAAAAAAAAGAUAUUCCAAGGUUUUUCUUCUUCUUCUUCAUAAUUGCUUUCCUGUUUGCUCUGAGAUGGGGGUAUUCCAAGAAUUCAAAUUUUGAAUUCUUGGAGCCCAAAUUAGCUAUAAAAGGGAACCAUUUGGUUCUCAUAUAAGAAUCCAUCAACAUCCGCGAAUUAGGGAGAAAAUCCAAGAAUCAAUCAAGAACUACCCAAAAAGGAGAGCAAAAAUCGCAGCCACCUCAAGCUUUUUUUAGAGUUCAAAAGUUCUUUUCUGGUCCUUCUAUUUUUAGUUUUGAAUUCGAGUUCGAGGAAGCUCUAAGUUGGAAUUCUUGACGACAAAGUUGUAGUUUGCUGCUCUUGAAAAGGUAUGCAACCUCACCCUUCUUUAAGCCUUUGUUCAUCUUUUUCGCUUAUAGUCUAUUUUUUUAGUUGCAUAAAGAUUAGAAUUCUUCAUCUUGGCUGGAGUUUUCGAUUUUGAUUUCUCUUAGCUGAAUAUAAUCUGAUUAUGUAUGAAUUCUAAAGUAUAUUCUGAGUUGAUUUCCUGAUUGUAACUCACUACGGUUCUCAUUUUAGUCUCCAUAGUUUUAUCUUGAUUAGUUUCGAAUUAUUCCACUCGUCUUAGUUUUAUUCCUACCUUUUAUACAUUUGUGACCUUGAUUAGUGUCCAAUAUCAUGGUUUUUGCCUCUCUUCACGCUUAAUUUGGAUGCUUGAACCAGCCUGCUAAUCGUUUGCAUCUUCAUGAUCUGUGUUGAGAUUUCUUUGUUUAAAC
rnacentral:lncRNA from 1 species